rnacentral:ncRNA from 1 species
CGGGCGGGACGCGCGCGCUUGUCCGCCCCUGGCCCGCCUGUCGGUGACACAAACCAAAACCCCCCGCGGCCCCUUUGGCGCCGCCCCCCCCCCCCCCAACUAGACAAUUUUUGUGUUCUAUAGUUUAUAUUAGCUAGUUGGUGAGGUAAUAGCUUACCAAGGCGAUGAUCAGUAGCUGGUCCGAGAGGAUGAUCAGCCACACUGGGACUGAGACACGGCCCAGACUCCUACGGGAGGCAGCAGUGGGGAAUUUUCCGCAAUGGGCGAAAGCCUGACGGAGCAAUGCCGCGUGGAGGUGGAAGGCCUACGGGUCGUCAACUUCUUUUNCGGCCCAGACUCCUACGGGAGGCAGCAGUGGGGAAUUUUCCGCAAUGGGCGAAAGCCUGACGGAGCAAUGCCGCGUG